UUAGCUUGGCACCAAGUUUUCCAAGACUGUCAACAUGGUCAUAACAAUUCCGGAUGGCAUGCACGAAGGAGUAAAGUUAGGGUUGGGGAAGGAAUGAGAGAAUUUCUGUGACAGACGACAUGUUAGGUACCAGAGUACAUCGGUAGUCUAUCUUAGUACAGUGAAUCUGUCUAUUCAAUGAUUAACUGUAAUGUAAUCACACAUAUUUCAUCGCAUAAUCGCACAAAUCCCUACUUUUGGUCACGUGACACUUUGUCAAAGCAGAAUCCGUCAUUUCGUUGGUAAAAAUAGUUCCUAAAAGACAGAAAGUUUUUGUUAGGAGUUUCAGGCGAAUUAAAACUUAUCUGCUCCUCUACUACGAGGGAUAAAUCUUGUCUUUUCUCUUUCCCUUUACAAAGAAGGUUUUUCUGUUAUUUCUGUGUAAAAAGUGUCAACGUCUGUAAAGCAGAGCACAUCAUGGAUGGUAACUAGCACACUCGGCCUCUGUCCAUCUGUUUUGUCGGUAAUUACCGCCAUCCAUUCCCUUCCAGCUUUUGACUUCACUGCAGCUUUAGAAGUUGUGUUUUUAACCAACAUUUCCCCAGUUUAGCUUUUCCUUUUCGGGAUUCCUGCACUGAAACUAAAUAUGUCAUCCAAAGAAAGUGUGACAUUGAUAAUAAGGAAAAGAUCAAAAGAAACUGUCUGCACGUGCGCGUGUUUGCGCAUGACUAUCUGAGCGUGUGUGCGAGUGUGUGUGUGUCCGUGUGCCUGUGUGUGUGUGUGUGCGCACGUAUACUUAAUACCUGAGGAUCAGAUUAUGUAAUUUAUAUCGAGAUUUAGAAAAGCCAAGAUUUUACAGAAGAAGAGAGAAAGAAAGAGUGUGGUGAGCCGGUCCAACACAAGGUCGUUGUUGCAGUUCUUGCUGGUGGUUGAUGAAUGGCGCCGGUGACACGCUGACAUGCCCCGCGCUGCUUUGAUGUCUUCCGCCGGCUAACGACUGGCUUACGCACAAUGGGGGAAAGGGUCGGGUAAAAGUGUAACACAGAUACCUGACAGGUGUGUGUGGGGGUCUGCUUACCCCUCCCCGCAUCCUCCUGUGACCCACUCCGUCCCUCACUCCAUCCUCCAUCCCUACACAUCCCCGCUCCCUCCUGCUUUCACUUCCAGCAUUCUAGUGAGCUUGGGCUUUACCUGGAGCCUCAGCUUUUCCUCCACUUUGAUCUGUAACUCACCUGUUCAUCGUUACUAAAACCUGUGCUGAUAUUUAUAGUUUUAUUUGUGAAUACUUUUUAUAUCUUAUCCGUGGUUUUUCUUAUUAACAUCGUCAUGUUGCUGCUGUUUAUUUUCACUUUUUUAAUUUAGCUUGAAGUAUGGUUACUAAAUUACUUUAUCUCUAGUAUUUUUAGCUUUUUGUUACUACUAAGAAAUUAUCAUAGCUGUUGGUACUGAUACAAGUGUCUAUGUUGUAACUUGCUAUAAAUACUUUGUUAAAAUAGCGUGUAGCUGAUGUUUGUUUGUUUGGUUUCCUUUUUUUUCUUGUUUUUGGGGUUUUUUUUUUUGUUGUUUUUUUUUACUCUUGUUGCAAUGUAACUGCUUAUUUAUGACACUUUUUUUGCAAUGUAUCUGUUAUUAUUACUGAUGGUGAUCAUGACUUUUCUCAACCUCUCUCCACAGAGUCAAGCGACCGACCAGAGGUCAACUCUGCGGCGGCCUGUGACGUGUGCGUACGUAGUAACGAAUAUAAUAUGCUUUGAGUGUACAAAUAUUGCUUUUAUAACUUAAUUGUGUACAUGACACAACAGUUUAAUAGAAACAAGAAUGUUUGCAUUUACGGCUAUAAUUUUAUCAACAAUGAGCGGAUCAGUCAUUGCGCAAGAGCAAAGGUGAAGGGUCAGUCGCGUGAGCACCUGGACUUUGAGUUGUCAGUCCGUUAGCACAUCUGAACACUUGGUAUCUGAACAUAAUGAGUCCUCGUAUCCUCAUGGAAUCUCACAGUUCCACAAGGUCUGUGAGGGUCAUGACUGAAAUCCCUCCCAAGGUAUCGACACUGUGACCUCCGUACAGAGGCAGUGUGUCAAAGGUCAAAGGCUAGAGGCCAACAGGUUCUACCAUCAGGGGAACUAGUCAGUCGCCUCGGGGGCAGUCACGGAGUAGGACACAAAAAUGUCCUGCUGUCUGUUUGUUUAUUUUAUUUUUAAGCGAUAAAUAAUGUCAGGACUGUCGGGACUGCACCACGUGAGUUUCUCAGUUUAUGUAUUACAGGUAAACCCCAUUAUCCGAGCACACAGGUAAACCCCAUUAUCCGAGCAUACAGGUAAACCCCAUUAUCCGAGCAUACAGGUAAACCCCAUUAUCCGAGCACACAGGUAAACACCAUUAUCCGAAUACACAGGUAAACCCCAUUAUCCCAGCACACAGGUAAACCCCAUUAUCCAUUAUCCAUUAUCACACAUUUACAGUGACCAGCUAAGCAGCAGGGAAGUGGAGGAUAGGAAGCGAGGUGGCAGAGAAGCUGGGGAGAUAUGGAGGAGCCAGUGGAUGGGAAAGCGGAUGGUCGGACCCCCAGGAUGGAUGGGACCACAUGCCAGCUUUACUUUUCUCUCUUCUUUCCUAAGUCGAUCCACGGCUGUGUACAACCUCUAGUCUUUGUCAUGUGACAGUCACGCUUGGUGAGGUCUGCAGCUAGGCAACGGCAACAAAACCUGAGUGGAUAAACUGGUGUGGAAGGAAGGAAGGAUGCACAUUCAGUCAGGGUCGAAUGGAGAAAACAAGGCGAAAAGAAAGUAGGAGAAAAGGAAAGUAAGAUAAAACAACAAGUUUGUGACAGUCGAGAGAGAGAAAAUAGAAGACAGUGGAAAACGAAAUUACAGAAACAAGAAAUAAAACCCGGAAAAGGUUCUGUGAAAGGAGAAAACGGCAUGUGAAUGUGAAAAGUAGUGAAUACAGCAACAGGAGAAAAAGACAUGUGAAUGUGACAGGCGGUGAAAACUAAAGAUAGAAGAAAAUGGCAUGUGAGCGUGAAAUAUGGUGAAUGUAAGAUGGUAAAAAUAUAACGGACAGGGAAAAUUGAAAAGUCGGGGCGGGGUAGCCCUAUAAACAGUUGCCACAUGCAGAGAAAGAAAUGAAGGACGGAUAGAAGACGGGAAACCAAGUAAAGACGAAUAGGGGAAAAAAAUGAAAGAAAGAAGAAACGUAGGAAAACUAGAGAGAACUGUUUGGGAGGAGGGAUAGACUAAUGGAUAGUAGGAAGUUAAAAAAGAACUGAAAGUAAGAGUGAAAAGAGGGAAAAGACAGAAGCAGGCAACGACGGAAAUUGACCUUUUACCUUUUAUGUCAGCAUCACACCUGUAAACAGGUGACACAUACAAAGAUGGCAACAACAUGCCUGAGGCGAGAUCUGAACCCAGGACACCCAACCCUGUACCGGUGACAGGCGCGAACCGUGACUGACCGUGGAGUAGAAAAGGAAUAAAACGAAAGCGUGAAAAAAGGAAGAGAUGUGGCAAGUGAAAGUAACAGAAUUAAUUGUUCUUAUCGCCUACACACUUCUUAUCCACCCGUUGAUUAUUCCAGACUAAUGUACACGGGUGGCAAUCUUGAGGAGACGCAACAUGUCAGCAACAAUGACUUGAAUUUCGCCUUAGAUGGAAACCGUUGUGCAACAGAUUUUAUAGCCGUUGACAAAUUGUAUUUUCAUUUCAUCAGUUUCCAUGAAAUGGUGUGAGGUGAAACACGAUGCGAGUCUCUGUCAGAUGAGACUGAGAACCACCCUCCUGCCCCAUACAGAAGGAGGAUCAACUCCCAGUUCCGCGAAGCCGAGGGUGAGAGUUGACGCAAACCGUCUGCUCGUGCAGGAAGUGGAGAGAGAGAGCACAUAAGACUGUUGCUAAGCAACCAGUAUACCGUACAGGCGCAUUGAGAAUAAAAUUAAAAUAAAACAUCUCAUGAUAAAUGGCGAGUCGUUAUCGUAAUGACUUUUCCUUUUGUAUUAAUUGUUACGGGUUGUGUGUCAGAAAUUCAUUUUACUGAUUUGCUGAGUUUGGAGCGAGAGUGAAGUGGUGCAUUGGUCUGUGAUGGGGUGUGACAGGGAAUGGGUGGAUGAAUGGAUGGAUUGAAUCUGUCGUUGUUGUUUGCAGAUUGGCUAUGAGUUACUCUCCACAAUCGGAGUGAUACGUAAUACGUAAUGAUGCAUAAACUGAUGUUACAGUCUGUCUGGCCGGUCUGAUGACACUGAAUGACAUCGUCGACGAAACGAUGUACACCUGCACUGGCCUUUAUAUCGUAAAUAUUUUAUAUCUCUGCAGUGGCCUUGAUGAGACAUUUUCUAGAGGCAAUGAUGGAGAAUAAUGUUUGAGUCUGAAAUAAUAAGAACCCAUCCCCGAUGUUUUCUUUCACUGUCAUCAUCAGUUUUCUUCAACUCUCCUCCAUUUUCAGCAAAGUAGCCAUUUGGUGAGCGUGGAAAGUAUCUGUGUACUCAGAAAUAAGUGUGAAAGGUGUUUUCAAAAGAUGUUUAUUCUUUGCGAAAUGUCUAAAAGCAAGCAGGUGUUCAUGUGGACUAUUUUAGAAACAACUAUAAAAUAGAAUUGUUAAGAAAUGUAAAUGUGCAUAUAGUUUAUGAUGUAACACCCUUAUUUCACGAGGGUCCGGUGUAGACAAGUGAUAAACCUUCUAACAAUACAGGCAAAAUUCCAUAAACUUAAAGCUAGAUGUAGUAUGAAAGAGUAAAUCUUUCUAUUUUGUAAACGACCUCUAUAGAUAUUAUUAAUAAUAUUAAUGUCUGUGCGUGU